rnacentral:rRNA from 1 species
AGCAGUGAUAAACAUUAAGCCAUAAGUGAAAACUUGACUUAGUUAAAGCUAAAAGGGCCGGUAAAACUCGUGCCAGCCACCGCGGUUAUACGAGAAGGCCCAAGUUGAUAAAAACCGGCGUAAAGAGUGGUUAAGAAUAAACCCAGAUUAAAGUCGAACCCUUCCAAAACUGUUAUACGUAUUCGGAAGUUUGAAGAACUAUUACGAAAGUGACUUUAUUUUAUCUGAAUCCACGAAAGCUAUGAUACAAACUGGGAUUAGAUACCCCACUAUGCCUAGCCGUAAAUAAAGAUUGGAUCCUACCCCCCAUCCGCCAGGGAACUACGAGCACUAGCUUAAAACCCAAAGGACUUGGCGGUGCUUUAGACCCACCUAGAGGAGCCUGUUCUAGAACCGAUAACCCCCGUUAAACCUCACCCCUCCUUGUUAACUCCGCCUAUAUACCGCCGUCGUCAGCCUACCCUGUGAAGGAUUAAUAGUAAGCAAAAUUGGUAAAACCCAAAACGUCAGGUCGAGGUGUAGCGUAUGGAGGGGGAAGCAAUGGGCUACAUUUUCUAAUAAAGAAUACUACGGAGGGUGAACUGAAAACCCACCCGAAGGAGGAUUUAGCAGUAAGCAGGAAACAGAGUGUCCUGCUGAAAUUGGCCCUGAAGCGCGCACACACCGCCCGUCACUCUCCCCAAAGACGAAAAACCACAUUAAAUAAAAAUAAACUAG